rnacentral:tRNA from 1 species
AGCCUUGAGGUGACUUUCAUGUUGAAUUGCAAAUUCAAAGGAGCAGCUUGCUGCUGCCGAGGCUU